rnacentral:rRNA from 1 species
GAUGAACGCUGGCGGCGUGCCUAAUACAUGCAAGUCGAGCGAACAGACGAGGAGCUUGCUCCUCUGACGUUAGCGGCGGACGGGUGAGUAACACGUGGAUAACCUACCUAUAAGACUGGGAUAACUUCGGGAAACCGGAGCUAAUACCGGAUAAUAUAUUGAACCGCAUGGUUCAAUAGUGAAAGACGGUUUUGCUGUCACUUAUAGAUGGAUCCGCGCCGCAUUAGCUAGUUGGUAAGGUAACGGCUUACCAAGGCAACGAUGCGUAGCCGACCUGAGAGGGUGAUCGGCCACACUGGAACUGAGACACGGUCCAGACUCCUACGGGAGGCAGCAGUAGGGAAUCUUCCGCAAUGGGCGAAAGCUUGACGGAGCAACGCCGCGUGAGUGAUGAAGGUCUGCGGAUCGUAAAACUCUGUUAUUAGGGAAGAACAAAUGUGUAAGUAACUAUGCACGUCUUGACGGUACCUAAUCAGAAAGCCACGGCUAACUACGUG